CCUACGGGUGGCUGCAGUGGGGAAUAUUGGACAAUGGGGGCAACCCUGAUCCAGCCAUGCCGCGUGUGUGAAGAAGGCCCUCGGGUUGUAAAGCACUUUCAGUGAGGAAGAACGCCUGGUGGUUAAUACCCAUCAGGAAAGACAUCACUCACAGAAGAAGCACCGGCUAACUCCGUGCCAGCAGCCGCGGUAAUACGGAGGGUGCGAGCGUUAAUCGGAAUUACUGGGCGUAAAGCGCGCGUAGGUGGCUUGAUAAGCCGGUUGUGAAAGCCCCGGGCUCAACCUGGGAACGGCAUCCGGAACUGUCAAGCUAGAGUGCAGGAGAGGAAGGUAGAAUUCCCGGUGUAGCGGUGAAAUGCGUAGAGAUCGGGAGGAAUACCAGUGGCGAAGGCGGCCUUCUGGACUGACACUGGCACUGAGGUGCGAAAGCGUGGGUAGCAAACAGGAUUAGAUACCCUGGUAGUC
rnacentral:rRNA from 1 species